rnacentral:rRNA from 1 species
CUGCUAAUACCGCAUAAUGUCUACGGACCAAACGGGGCUUAGGCUCCGGCGCAAAGAGAGGCCCAAGUGAGAUUAGCUAGUUGGUAAGGUAACGGCUUACCAAGGCGACGAUCUCUAGCUGUUCUGAGAGGAAGAUCAGCCACACUGGGACUGAGACACGGCCCAGACUCCUACGGGAGGCAGCAGUGGGGAAUAUUGCACAAUGGGGGAAACCCUGAUGCAGCCAUGCCGCGUGUGUGAAGAAGGCCUUCGGGUUGUAAAGCACUUUCAGUUGUGAGGAAAAGUUAGUAGUUAAUACCUGCUAGCCGUGACGUUAACAACAGAAGAAGCACCGGCUAACUCCGUGCCAGCAGCCGCGGUAAUACGGAGGGUGCGAGCGUUAAUCGGAAUUACUGGGCGUAAAGCGCACGCAGGCGGUUUGUUAAGCUAGAUGUGAAAGCCCCGGGCUCAACCUGGGAUGGUCAUUUAGAACUGGCAGACUAGAGUCUUGGAGAGGGGAGUGGAAUUCCAGGUGUAGCGGUGAAAUGCGUAGAUAUCUGGAGGAACAUCAGUGGCGAAGGCGACUCCCUGGCCAAAGACUGACGCUCAUGUGCGAAAGUGUGGGUAGCGAACAGGAUUAGAUACCCUGGUAGUCCACACCGUAACGCUGUCUACUAGCUGUGUGUGUCUUUAAGGCGUGCGUAGCGAAGCUAACGCGCUAAGUAGACCGCCUGGGGAGUACGGCCGCAAGGUUAAAACUCAAAUGAAUUGAC